UACGUAGGGAGCAAGCGUUAUCCGGAUUUACUGGGUGUAAAGGGCGCGUAGGCGGGAUGGCAAGUCAGAUGUGAAAUCCAGGGGCUCAACCCCUGAACUGCAUUUGAAACUGUCGUUCUUGAGUACUGGAGAGGUUGACGGAAUUCCUAGUGUAGCGGUGAAAUGCGUAGAUAUUAGGAGGAACACCAGUGGCGAAGGCGGUCAACUGGACAGCAACUGACGCUGAGGCGCGAAAGCUGGGGGAGCGAACAGG
rnacentral:rRNA from 1 species